CAGUAUGACUGGUCCAGUAUGUGUAAAUGUUCCGUUCGCGAAAACAACAUCUGUUGUUGAGUACUAUUAUAUUCUUCCAUAUAAGGAGAUUUUGUUUGAACUCCUGAACAGGGAAUGGCCUUCUGAUGGAAAUGUUGAACUGCAAGACAUGAAUAGCACGUUUAAGAAAAAACCUAUUAAAAAGGUGUCAACUCCAAAGCAGAGUAAACAAACGAUUGGUGCCAAAAGCAGCCACAAGGUCCAGAAGUCCAGAGACAGCAGACUUGAGAAAAACAGCAAAAGAAAGUUUGAAACCUCCAGGGCUACAUAUGCUGUCUAUGCGGAGGGUCCGGAUGGUGAGAGCCCCACAAUAAAAAUUGGUUCAACAAAUACAAAAGCAACAACAGUGGCGGCAACGGGCGGACAAACUAUAGUCCCUCAAGAUAGAGAGAACGAAAAACAAAAACAAUCUAUAAACACGAAUGUUCCCCAA